GAUGAAAGAACGUAGCGAAAUGCGAUACUUGGUGUGAAUUGCAGAAUCCCGUGAACCAUCGAGUCUUUGAACGCAAGUUGCGCCCGAAGCCAUUAGGCCGAGGGCACGUCUGCCUGGGCGUCACGCGCUCCGUCGCCCCGCAACCCCGAACCCCCUUGUGGCGGCCCGGGAGCUUGUGGUGCGGAUAUUGGUCUCCCGUGGGCAUGUCUCGCGGCUGGCAUAAAAACGAGUCCCGUGUGCACCAAGCCGCGGCCGACGGUGGUUGAGAAGCCUUCGGUAAAGAGCCGCGGUCAGGUAGCCCACUUUGGGACCCUGUGACCCUUGCGUGACUUCUCCUCUAGGGGGGAAGGAGCUCCAUCUGCGACCCCAGGUCAGGCGGGGCUACCCGCUGAAUUUAAGCAUAUCAAUAAGCGGAGGA
rnacentral:misc_RNA from 1 species